GUACUCACGUUGCCCUAAAGGAGUGGGAAACAGAUUGCUUAAUAUGGCAAGAGUCACAGCCCACGUAAUAACUUUCACGGGCAUUUUUCAUUGCUCUAAUGCCUUUAUAUUGGUGCUCUCUUGUAAUGCAGUUAGGAAUGAUGCAACCCUGUUGCUGUAAUAACCUGGUGGGCAGCUGGAUGAAUUCCUUUUUUAAAAAAAGUCACCACGUCAUGAAGACUUCCUAGCAUGAAACAUUCUUCAUUAGUUGCCUGCAUUUUGCAUAAUCUUGUUCUCCAGACACGUAACUGUUAAGAGGUUAGGUGCAAUACCAGUGCUCAGAUGUACUCCCUGCAUAGUGCUGCCAUCCUUCUCAAGAGCCUGCGGUGCUGGGUGUUUUUCCUUUGGUUUCUGCAUGUGCUAAUGCAUCAGGAGCAUGCGUUAUCCUUGGGAGUGUCCAGAAAAUGUGGGAAAUGAAGAGUAAGGUACUACUGUGCCCAUGGAAAAGGCAAAAAUAAUCCAAAAAAUAUUGGAGAGAGACUGAAGAGUGCUGAGGAGCCUGCUAAAGGCCAUCACAAGAAGGUGCCAGGAGCUCGUGGAAGAGCUGACACCAUCUGGGUGACCCACAGCAGUGGACGCUUUAAAUAUGCCUGCAGAAGAGUCUUUGAAUCACUUGAGGCAGCCAUCAGCUUGCGAAGCCCUUCUGCCCUCUGGUAAAAGUGAGAUCAGUAUCGAACCUUGGAUCCUGACCCACUUCAAGUUUUCCCACCCCGCUUCAUGCCUUGAUGCCGUCAACAGUCUCAGCAGAAAGGAUCCUCCCCUUUCCCAAGGGGAGCUGUGGGAUCACCCCAACCUUCCGGAGCGAUGAGAUGAGACAAGAGGCAGCUCUUGUUGGUACCAGUACACAACUCCAGGUCACAUCCUAGAGGUUGGAGGGGGUCAGGGCCAUGCUGUCAUUUAUUCCUCCCUGGGCCACGUGCAAGAUCUAGGAGGGGUGUUCUGCUCCACCCUUCACUUACUUUCCCCCAAUGCUCAUGAGUCACUCACACACUGCUUCAUUUCAGUGGCUCAUUCUGGUGAUGUUUCUCCCAGCCGUCUCACUCUGGAUACCCACAGACCCGUUAAUAAAGGAUCCUGGCUGGGAUGCUGGCCCCUGACUCACAUACGUGCUUAAUGUGAUUUAUGUUCAUGACCAGUAAAAGGAAAAAAAUCACCUGAGGCAUUACUUUUUUUUUUUUUCAAUAACAUAUCUGGGAAGGUAGAAGGUGCUAAACGAGCAGCAGGAUCGCUCUCUGCCUUCAGUGAAAACACUGCCUAUUACGAGUAAAACAUUAAUUCAAGAAAUCAAAUGCAAGUGGUAGGCAGUUCAAACAAAGCUUGUUUCCUGGUUCAAAGCCCAGCUCAGACCUUGAUCUGUCUGCCCCCAGAAUUUGUUAAAAAGGCAGGUUUCACUCUAUCGGUUAUGACUGGAUGUUACGGUAAAAAAGUGGUAGCAAAGUGUUUUGAAUAACUUGAGCAUUUCCAGGCUGUGCAUGCUUGCUGUUAAGAAGCAGUGAUCUCCCUGGCACACACUGGGAGAUUUUCUAAUUAAAUUACAAUUCUGAGCAAGUGAAAUGUUGUUUCAUUGCAGCAUAGGUUAUUUAGUUAAAGAUUAAAAACAAACAAGCAAAAACCCCUAAAACUACUACAGAAUAUGAAUUGCCAGGGUUAAAGUACUCUCAGGUGCAUCGGUGUAAAUCCGCUGAUAACACCUCUGCUGACAGGGUUAUCCUGAAUUUGGACUGGUGCAACUGGAGGGUGGGAACAAUAUUUGCAGUAAAUACACCCCUAUGCUUUCAAACACCCUGUAUCACCCAGCUAUGCAAACUACCAUCAGCAGAGCAUGGAUGUGUUAUUUUGGAACAAACGAACAACAACAACAAAAAAGCCUGUUACAUUAAAACAAUAAAGACAAUGAGUGAGAGGGAGUUUAAUCAGAGGGCAGGCUUGUGGUCUUAAUGUUCCCACAGAUCUGUAGAUAUAAACCUCCUCUCACACCAGGCUUCAUGUACUCAUGCUCUCCUCUGAGGAGAAGCAAGGAGACUUGUCUAUAAUUAUACUCAUUAGUACCUGUCUUUUUAUAAUGCUUCCAAUUUUUUUUUUUUCCAGAGGAAAAAUAUGAGGCAUGAGUUGUAUGAUGUAAUUUCUAUCAUAAAAUCUUCCCUAACAGCCUGCCUAAUCAAGUGCUGUUUGUUGUUUGUUAGUAGCCUUGUCUUUGUAGCUGCAAGAGGUAAAAAUAUGUGCGGCAUGACUUUCAGGGAGAGGCAACAGUUUUUACUGAGGGGAAAAAAAAAGAAAAAAGAUUUAGAAAAACACAGUUAGGAAAGCAGACAGGCUUUCAAGCAACAAGUUGGACUUGAAGAAGUGUUUGUAUGCCUGAAAGCUUGCCUGCUUUUUCCAUCUUUAUCACUUGGUCUAUUAAAAGAUUACGGCCCCCCACAAAACUUGCCCCAGUUAUUUACCAAAAAAGUGCUUUGAACAGCUGGGAGCUUGCAGUUUAUACAGAUGCUUAACAGAAAAUUGGAUGAAUAUAAUACUAUCGUAAUAGAGAAAAGACAUGAAAAAAAGGUCUGUCACCAGAUCAAUCAUGAGAACCCAUCACUGCUGCGCAGGGAUGAAGUGGCUCUGCAGAAGGGUCAGUGUUUGUUUCUUGGUUUAAUGGAAGGAAGGCAUUUGAAGCUGGCCAUAAAAGUGGAUGAUGUGAGGAUAAAGUGAACCAAGUGAUUAGCCUUGAGAAAAAAAAAAUGCUCUGGUGUCAUGAUCCAAACUUUGCAGCCAAUUGGUGCUUUAGAGCAACAGUAGAGCUCUUUGUCUGGCUUAGUUGAGUCAUACAAUUAUCUCAAUAACAGUAAGUACCUAGCAACAGCCUCAAUAAACACCCAUUUCUUUGAUUAAUCAGCCAUUUUGAAACAGGUUUGGUAAACAUUACUCUUUCACUUCUGGAUUACAUUAUUAAAAAAGCUGCCCACUGAAGCUGCUCCCCACGCUAUGAAUAACCGCACUAAACCACAGAUGUCCUGCCCAGCUUGGGCAGGUGGGCUGAGCUUAACUUGACACUUCUUGCCCAUGUCCAAGUACAGAAAGCAGGGGCUGGAGGUGCUCUCUUUGUGGGAAUGCCGAGGAUGAAGCUGUUUCCUGCUUUUUCCCAAGCUCUCCGAAUGGUGCUGUGCCUACUUCUCGUACAUUGAUGAGGAAUUGAACCGAAGGAACAGGAAAAGACAUUUACAGGAAAAUGUCUUUGUUCAACUGAACCUCUGCCUACCCUCUUGCCCUCAGUGAUCUUGUCAGCACCUUCUAGAAGAAAGCUGGUCAGCAUCCUCCAAUGGUCAAGGACCAGGAAGGUUUCCAACAGGACAAGAUCUUUACAGAUCAUCCUUGCCUGUGUGUGUUAGAAGUCCUCUGAGCAUUGACAGUGGGAUUAAUUGGUCUUCCCCCAUGUUUGAGGUAUUUGUUAUGAUGCUUCAUCUCUAUUCAGUCAUCCAACACAGGCUGAACUCAGUCUGCAGCCUUCCCUCAGUACAGGCACUAAUGGGAUCUGCUUUCUUUUCCUAUUGUGAUGAAACCUAUGGGAAAUAAAUAUCUUUGCUACUUACUGAUGUCUCCUGACUAUCCAUAUGAAUGCACAGUUUUGUGUGGGUAUUGCACUUGACUCAGCUUAUCUCAAGGCUAUCACAUCAGUCAGGGGAUAUUCCCUAGGAAGGGAGUAUUUCUUAAUCAUGUUCAUUUAAUCCAUUUCACCAUACUGCUAAUCUUAGCGUAGGAGGACCUCCCAAAGUGCUCUUGUACAUAACAAA